GUCCACGCCCUAAACGAUGUCGACUUGUUGUUGGGGUUUGUACACUCUCAGUAACGAAGCUAACGCGUGAAGUCGACCGCCUGGGGAGUACGGCCGCAAGGUUAAAACUCAAAGGAAUUGACUGGGACCCGCACAAGCGGUGGAUUAUGUGGAUUAAUUCGAUGCAACGCUAAAAACCUUACCUACCCUUGACAUGUCCUGGACCCUGCAGAGAUGCGGGGGUGCCCGAAAGGGAACGGGAACACAGGUGCUGCAUGGCUGUCGU
rnacentral:rRNA from 1 species